rnacentral:tRNA from 1 species
GGGGAUGUAGCUCACCCGGUAGAGCGAUACGUUCGCAACGUAUAGGUAGUCGGUUCGAGUCCGAUCAUCUCCACCA